UGGUGAGUAUGCCUUCAGCGCUCCAUUGU
rnacentral:piRNA from 1 species